UCCAGAUCCGUGAGGGUUUCCUGCGGCCAAGCCCAGACCAGGAGGGACCCGGAGAAGCUCGAGGGUCACCCCGGACCGACCGGUUGGGAAGUGGCCGAGUCUCAUUCUCCUCGUGUCGCAUGUUGGGAUCUGGCUGCGGAUUCUCAGCCCGGGAUCCGAGGGCGGAGCCGCGGUCUCAGGCCUCCAAGGACAGGCACCAGGAGCCACUAUAACACCGGCUCGUUGGUCUAGGGACACCAGCUAGUUUUCGGUUUGAAGACAUCCUAACUCUGCGGAGUCCUGAGCGACGGAAUCGUGGUUCCCGCCGGCCACGAUCCGAUCGUCCGCUCUCGGUUCUGUUCUGCCAAGUGGCCAUCACUGCGCUGGGGUCGCUCUGGGCCUGGCGCUGGGGGAGGAGACCGAGAUGAGUCAGUCUCCGCUCUCGGGAGACCAGCUCCGUGUGCCAGACGGUCACUGGACUGGGUGAUGAUGUGACUUGGGGCGUGUGUUUCUACUUUGGGUAAUAAACUCAAAUUUUAUGACCCAAGUAAAGGACAAGCCCACGUUUCAAUGCCUUUCCUAUUUGAGGGGCUGCCCAAAGGGUCUUCCACGACCCAGGCAAGGAAGGAAACCGCAGAGGAGACUGAGCAGGGGGCCGCAAGAGACCACCAGUCCCCACGGGGGUCCAGGGGGCGGUGCUCCGAACACGGGGUCUCCUCCUCCGCUAGAAGAACCGCGGUGUUUUCAUAGGUUUUAUUAUUUUCUGAGGCCAACAGAUUCAGCCACUGAGAAGAUGGCUUAUU